CUUGCCACUGCAUGCACCUGCUUCUAAGUGGAGACGUGGAGGCACUUAACGAUUCUUUUAUGCCUGUGAAAAGAUUUUUAAAGUUAGAUGUAUAUCAAAUCAAAUUUCUUAUUUGAAAAUCGUAUGCACGGCUUAACUUGAGAAAAUUCAAGACCAACGGAAAAUAAAAAUUUCCCCAUGAAAAAUUUUUCUUCAUGUUGGUCAUAGUUUCCCUUCUAUUUCUACUAUUCGUUUUUCCCCAAUUUUAGGGUAUAAAAGGACUGUAAGAGCUCAGAAGGGUCAGUUGAACAACAAGUUUUGUACGAUAUAAGGUAUUAAAGUUCCUUCAGUUACGCUUCAAAUAAUUGCAUAUAGUAAGUAACAUUAUAUUAUUUCAUAUUAUUUUUUGAUUCCCGCUUUUCUUUUUUAUGUGAAAAGAAUUAAAUAAUCUGAUAACAGUUUACUUGUAGAUAUCGCGAUCACUACACUGGACAAUUUGUAUAUUAAUUGUACGAUUUAUAUAUAGAAUAUAUCUAUAUACAAUAGAAUAUUUAUAUCUGCUAUUCUUGAAGAACAAACGAACAAUGAAUUAGAUGAAUAUAUCAAUUUUUUUAAUAAGAAUUUAAUGAAAAAAAGGAAUAAUCGAUUUUCAGCUUUAAAUCAGGAUUCAGAUAAAUAAAUAAUAAAUCGAAAAAAAUUAGAUUUU